CUUCAAUGGAAUUCCACCAUUUUUUUCACAUGGUUUAAGAAUCAUAUGACUCAUUUCUUUUGAUCCUAAAAGCGGGCAUAUAGAACGUUUCCAACCCCGAAAGGACCACCAAUGCUUUGAAGCAGAGAGGUCCAGUGCAAACAUAUGUCACAAUGAAGCUGACUGCUGAUAAAGGGCAAUGACAUCAACAGCUUCUCUUGCACUGAGAUAAUCUUCUAUAACAGCCAAGCAGCUGCAAAACAGAGCCGAAGGUCCCAUCGAGCUGCCCAUGCAGAAGCCUGAAGAUAAAUACCCAUGGCUGCAAACAGCAACUACUGCAGGGCAAUAAUCAUAAAUCCUCUACUGCUGCCAGUAACGACAUUUAGCGAUCUCAUCCACUGAAAGGAAAUGCAAAAA